GCGGCAGGCCUAAUACUGCAAGUCGAGGGGCAGCACAGGUAGCAAUACUGGGUGGCGACCGGCAAACGGGUGCGGAACACGUACGCAACCUUCCUUCAAGCGGGGAAUAGCCCAGAGAAAUUUGGAUUAAUACCCCAUAGGAAUGUAGUCUCGCAUGAGACAGCAUUUAAAGAUUUAUCACUUGAAGAUGGGCGUGCGUCUGAUUAGGUAGUUGGUGAGGUAACGGCUCACCAAGCCGACGAUCAGUAACUGGCGUGAGAGCGCGACCAGUCACACGGGCACUGAGACACGGGCCCGACUCCUACGGGAGGCAGCAGUAAGGAAUAUUGGUCAAUGGACGCAAGUCUGAACCAGCCAUGCCGCGUGGAGGAUGAAUGCCCUCUGGGUUGUAAACUUCUUUUAUCUGGGACGAAACACUUCUUUUCUAAGGAGCUUGACGGUACCAGGUGAAUAAGCACCGGCUAACUCCGUGCCAGCAGCCGCGGUAAUACGGAGGGUGCAAGCGUUAUCCGGAUUCACUGGGUUUAAAGGGUGCGUAGGCGGAUAUGUAAAGUCUGUGGUGAAAUCUUCGAGCUUAACUCGGAAACUGCCAUGGAUACUAUAUGUCUUGAAUGGUUGUGGAAGG
rnacentral:rRNA from 1 species